rnacentral:tRNA from 1 species
GGGCGGUUAGCUCAGCGGUAGAGCACUGGUCUUACACGCCGGGAGUCACAGGUUCGAAUCCUGUACCGCCCACCA